rnacentral:rRNA from 1 species
UACAGAGGGUGCGAGCGUUGUCCGGAAUCACUGGGCGUAAAGGGCGCGUAGGUGGUGGCUUAAGCGUGCGGUGAAAGCUCGGGGCUCAACUCCGAGUCGGCCGUGCGAACUGGGCUCACUGGAGCAUAGUAGAGGCAGGUGGAAUUCCGGGUGUAGCGGUGAAAUGCGCAGAUAUCAGGAGGAACACCGGUGGCGAAGGCGGCUUGCUGGGCCUUACCUGACGCUGAGGAGCGAAAGCGUGGGGAGCGAACAGG